GUCAGAUAUGGGCGGAACCUCCCCUCUAGAAAGGCGGAGCACCCUUUGAAGAGCGAGAUGGCUUUGAAAGGUCAGAUUUAUUUCAAAGUACAAAGUUUGUUCUGUCUCUCCUGCUGCAAGCUCAACCUGCAAACUGAAAACUCAAGCUGUGUCCCUUCUGCCUAUCAUUGUUUGAAAGGAAAAUUUGUAAUCUGUAUGCAAAAUGCUGCAUUGGAUGUGAAUUUAUGACAUAUACUGAAUCAUUUCUUUCAAGUGUUUGGGGUUGAAUAAAGCAAUGUGUUAAAUUAGAUAAAAGCAAGGACACAGUUGAAGGAAUGACUUGAAGACUGUGAUGGCUGUAAAAAUUGGUUUGGCAGUGAAUUUUUUAGUGAUGAAUGGAAAGCAGAAGUAUAUUUUGGGUAUGUGAUUCAAGGUGUCAUAAAAGAGAAGAUAAGCAUUUGCUUAAUAAUAUGGUCAUCACCAAUAAUAAGACUAAAGAGAUAUCCUGAUUGUCUCUCAAACAAAACCAUUGACUGAAACAACAGCACCC
rnacentral:lncRNA from 1 species